rnacentral:tRNA from 1 species
UCCCAGGUGGUUCAGAUGGUAAAGAAAUCUGCCUGCAAGGCAGGAGACCCAGGUUUGAUCCCUGGGUUGGGAA